rnacentral:rRNA from 1 species
GAUGAACGCUGGCGGCGUGCCUAAUACAUGCAAGUCGAGCGAACAGACGAGGAGCUUGCUCCUCUGACGUUAGCGGCGGACGGGUGAGUAACACGUGGAUAACCUACCUAUAAGACUGGGAUAACUUCGGGAAACCGGAGCUAAUACCGGAUAAUAUAUUGAACCGCAUGGUUCAAUAGUGAAAGACGGUUUUGCUGUCACUUAUAGAUGGAUCCGCGCCGCAUUAGCUAGUUGGUAAGGUAACGGCUUACCAAGGCAACGAUGCGUAGCCGACCUGAGAGGGGGGUGAGACAGCAGGGGAGAUAGAGACGCCAUAGGCGAAUGCGUGAGGGAGCAGGGGGGAAUGGGGGAGAAUGGGCGUAGGUUGGACAUAGCAAGUCCGCGUGAGAGAAAAAGGGAUUCGGUACGUAAAGCUGUUUUACUGGUAAAGAAAAAAAGCGCAGCAGUCAACUGCGGGAAUGACGGUGCGUAAAGAAAAAGAAAAGGCUCAUGUGGUG